rnacentral:tRNA from 1 species
UGGGGGAUCGUCUAAUGGUAGGACGCAGCUCUUUGGAAGCUGCUAUCUAGGUCCGACUCCUAGUCCCCCAG